GAGUUUGAUCUUGGCUCAGGACGAACGCUGGCGGCGUGCUUAACACAUGCAAGUCGAACGGAAAGGCCCUUCGGGGUACUCGAGUGGCGAACGGGUGAGUAACACGUGGGUGAUCUGCCCUGCACUUUGGGAUAAGCCUGGGAAACUGGGUCUAAUACCGAAUAGGACCGCAUGCUUCAUGGUGUGUGGUGGAAAGCUUUUGCGGUGUGGGAUGGGCCCGCGGCCUAUCAGCUUGUUGGUGGGGUAAUGGCCUACCAAGGCGACGACGGGUAGCCGGCCUGAGAGGGUGACCGGCCACACUGGGACUGAGAUACGGCCCAGACUCCUACGGGAGGCAGCAGUGGGGAAUAUUGCACAAUGGGCGCAAGCCUGAUGCAGCGACGCCGCGUGAGGGAUGACGGCCCUCGGGUUGUAAACCUCUUUCAGCAGGGACGAAGCGCAAGUGACGGUACCUGCAGAAGAAGGACCGGCCAACUACGUGCCAGCAGCCGCAGU
rnacentral:rRNA from 1 species